UUUUGCUCUUUUGUUAAAUAAAUUCAGUUUGGUCAACAUAUAAAGGAUGAAGAAGAAAGAAGAGAUCAUAGUGACUAUCAUUUAAUCUUUCGAGAUCAUAAGUUGCUCUAUUGACUUAGAGCAUCUCUUCAGCUCAUUGCAGCAAGAAACUCCACAGCUAUCAACCUACUUGAUGAAAAAGUCCUCUUGCUUUCCAUGUGGCUUCCUCCAAGCAGAGUCAGGUGAUGCUGCACUUCUCCACACAUAGCAACUCACAAACAAGUAAAGAGUAGUGCAGAGAUAGGAUGACACCUCCAAUAGCAUUUCUCACUCUUUUAAGUCAGCUGAGAGCUGAGACCUCUACUAACAGUAAUCACAAACAUGUUGACAUUUUUCUGACUAACUAGACUUAUUCUUUCCUCCAGAGAGAUAAUAAAAUGUUCCAUGAUUUAGCCAGGGCUUAAAACAAACAUGUCACAGAAUGAAGUGCUUUGCUUGUAAUCCCAUUGCUUUUUCUAAAACAGACUCAAAGGCUCCUUUCUUGCUCAAGGUAGAGGUACAGAGCACCUCUAUUCCUUCAGUCCCAGAGCAUUUAAUUAUAGUGGCCACGUCUCUCUCUUUUCCACUUGCCUAGGAAGCCAAGAAGGGAUGAUAGGAUGGGAAGUCUGCUGUUUUUCAAUGGUACAAAGAGGUCAUCACCUCCAUAUGUGAGCAAUGGAUUUCAGUAAAAUGCUGAAAAUAACAGAGCUGAAAAGUGCAAAAGGAAAAGUAACUCCCAUCUCUGCAAUAUGAUUUUGUAUCACAGAAUCUGGAUUAAGCACUAAAGUUUUAUGCAUUUAUUCUAUGGUCAUACAGACCCUUUCUGCCUUUCCUCACACAUAGCUGAUAUGUCCUUUUCACGCAGGGACUCUUUCACAAGCCUUUUCUCAGAGUACAUAAACAAAACCCAGCUUCCACCCUAUCCCUGAAGAAUCACACAUACAGUUUCCCACACCACAACUGCUCAUCUAGCUCAUCUUGACCCAGUAACUUCCCAGCAGCCCUCAGUUCCUGAACCCAGCUCUAUGUAGAAGCAACUAUAAGAUGACAGACAUUUGUAAAGCCAGGCGGAAAUAAUCUCACCAGAACUCCUCUCCCAACCUAAGCCACUCUCAGGCUGUGGUCGUCUCUGAUCAGUUUCUGCUGGGAGACCACAAGCUGAUUGACUGCACAGAGCAUGGUAAAUGUUUGUUGAUGGUACAACUGAAACCAUGGAGAAAACUCAUUACAAACUCUUAUGGUUUGUAACACCACCUUCUUCCUUCUCUCCCUCCCCAGAAAUGCUGCCUCCUGUGCACAUGCAGCCUCCCAGGAUGCUCUGUUCCACCACAUCAAUAAAAAGCAAGAGUGAGAUUCAUGUCCUGGGAGUCUUAGAAACUACAUGCAUGUCUACAAACUUUUACAUCCUCAGCCCAAGUACUACCCCUACUUCAACACAGGCUGCUUGCCCCGAGAUCACAAACACAAAAUGGGCCUUUAUCACUGCUGUGGAGACAAGAAUGCUAUUGUGUUUGAUUUUCUGUCAGGGUCACUUGGAUGAUCCACUUGGUGUGAUGGAGAAAUCAAACUGAUGACACCAUGACCCACUGAUCAGUGAAGCAAGAGAGACCCCAGUCAGACACCUGCAGGGCCAUCCUUUGCCAUCAGCCAUUGGCCUUCAGCCAUUUAGCUGGCAAAUUAUAUAAAUUAUAUAAAGAACUGAAAGAAUAUGGGAGGACCAUUAUGAAUAAUUACAUUUUGGCUACCUCUCUGAAGCUGGAAGUCACAGGGAAAAACCUCAGAGUUAGUGUGUCUACAGGGACCUGAACCUUAUUUCCCUUUCAUUCACUUCAAAGAGGAUGACAAGAAAUGUCAGUGGAAUCAAUGGAAUAACAAUGGGACAAGGAUGAGAAAGAG
rnacentral:lncRNA from 1 species